rnacentral:rRNA from 1 species
CGGAGCUAACGCGUUAAGUCGACCGCCUGGGGAGUACGGCCGCAAGGUUAAAACUCAAAUGAAUUGACGGGGGCCCGCACAAGCGGUGGAGCAUGUGGUUUAAUUCGAUGCAACGCGAAGAACCUUACCUACUCUUGACAUCCAGAGAACUUAGCAGAGAUGCUUUGGUGCCUUCGGGAACUCUGAGACAGGUGCUGCAUGGCUGUCGUCAGCUCGUGUUGUGAAAUGUUGGGUUAAGUCCCGCAACGAGCGCAACCCUUAUCCUUUGUUGCCAGCGGUCAGGCCGGGAACUCAAAGGAGACUGCCAGUGAUAAACUGGAGGAAGGUGGGGAUGACGUCAAGUCAUCAUGGCCCUUACGAGUAGGGCUACACACGUGCUACAAUGGCGCAUACAAAGAGAAGCGACCUCGCGAGAGCAAGCGGACCUCAUAAAGUGCGUCGUAGUCCGGAUUGGAGUCUGCAACUCGACUCCAUGAAGUCGGAAUCGCUAGUAAUCGUGGAUCAGAAUGCCACGGUGAAUACGUUCCCGGGCCUUGUACACACCGCCCGUCACACCAUGGGAGUGGGUUGCAAAAGAAGUAGGUAGCUUAACCUUCGGGAGGGCGCUUAC